GCUUACGGCCACACCGGCCUGAGUACGCCUGAUCUCGUCCGAUCUCCGAAGCUAAGCAGGGUCGGGCCUGGUUAGUACUUGGAUGGGAGACCGCCUGGGAAUACCAGGUGCUGUAAGCU
ensembl:rRNA 5S_rRNA 5S ribosomal RNA